UAUCCUACACAGCGCACAUCUGAUUGUUUGGGUUUAUCAGCUUAAAGGGGUACUCCGCCCCUAGACAUCUCAUCACCUAUCCAAAGGAUAUGGGAUAAGAUGUCUGAUCAUGGGGGUCCUGCCACUGUGACCUCUGCGAUCUCGGCUGGGGUAUCCCAAACAUCCGCUGCAUGGAGCAAAAUUUACUAUGUGGCGGAUGACUGGCUAUGCAGGGUGGAGGCCUGUGAUGUCACGGCCAUGCCCCGCUUGGGAUGUCAUGGCCAUGCCCCCUCAAUGCAUGUCUAUGUGAGGGUGCUUGACGGCCAUCACGCCCCCUCUCAUAGACUUACAUUGAGGGGGCGCGGCUGUGACGUCACGAGCCUCUGGCACUGCCCCCGGCCCUCUAAACAAACGCCAGGUGCGGCAGGGAGAUCGCAAGGGUCCCCAGCAAUCAGACAUCUUUGCCCCUAUCCUUUGGAUAGGGGAUAAGAAGUCUAGGGGUGGAGUACCCCUUUAAAAGAUUGGAUUGGAAAUAGUGUACUCACCUGUUCUGAUCCCCUGCUGACAUUUUGAUGGUUCCCAUCCUCAGCUUUACCUAGUCUCGAUCAUAACACAAGAAAUUAGACACUCAGCCAAUCAUUGCUUGAGAAUGGUCAGUGCAUCCAGUGAUGGGCUGAGAAUCACUGCAUCCAGUGAUGGGCUGAGUAGUCACUUGUUUAAGAUCAAAACCAAGAAGUUCUGAGCAGCAGAAUGGUGAAGGAUGAUUGAGGGAAAAAAUGUUUUCCCUUUAGCCCAGCUUUCCCACAUUUACAUAUAAAAAGUAGUCUCUUGACAACUCCUGUAUAGGGUGCAUGUCUAACAAAAAUCAAUUGUCUAAAGUUAACAGCCCUUUUAAGGAACAGUGAGAAAAUGUAUAUGUCCAAAUAGGUCUGAAAGCAUAGUGUUAUCAUAAUUUCAUGUCUCUGUGGCAUGUCAAAUGUUUUGAUUUGUUUUUUUAAUUAUAGCAAUGCUUUAAGCCAAUAAUCCCCAACCCAAUCCUCAAGACCCACAAACAUUCUGGACUCUUUCAGUUACUGCAUUGGAAUAGAAUAGGGAAAAAUUCCAAUUCUUGACUGUUGGCGAAUCUUCAGGACUGGGUUGGGGACCUCUGUUUUUAAAGGGGUAUUUUUUUAUUUGACUAUGCUACAGGGCUGUAAAGUUAGUGUAGUUCAUAAUAUAGUGUCUGUACCUGUGUGUGACAGUUUUCUCACAAUUCUUCUGUGAUUUUCACCCCAAUAUUUAUUUUUAACAGAAUACAAAAUGACUGUUGUCUCAUAUUUUUCCCAGGUUGCAAUGCGGCCGAGACCUGACAUCACUAGUCUGCUGAUGACAAGGAGUCUGUCUGCUUCAAUGGGUGGAGGGAUCGCUUGGUGGGAGAGAGAUCAAUCUGCAACUAAUGCAACAGCUGUAUGAAAACAACAGGACCCACUUAUACUCUGGAAUAAGGGGUACUGGGAGAAUGUAAUAUAAACAACAUGGAUGUACUGUAUAACAAGGCUGUGUCUGCCAUUGCAGGUCACCACCAUUCAAGUGAAUUCAAUGCCCUGCAAAGCCUAAUGGAAUAAGCGAAUAAAAAGUAAUCUUUCUUUUC